GACGAACGCUGGCGGCGUGCUUAACACAUGCAAGUCGAACGGAAAGGCCCUGCUUUUGUGGGGUGCUCGAGUGGCGAACGGGUGAGUAACACGUGAGUAACCUGCCCUUGACUUUGGGAUAACUUCAGGAAACUGGGGCUAAUACCGGAUAGGAGCUCCUGCUGCAUGGUGGGGGUUGGAAAGUUUCGGCGGUUGGGGAUGGACUCGCGGCUUAUCAGCUUGUUGGUGGGGUAGUGGCUUACCAAGGCUUUGACGGGUAGCCGGCCUGAGAGGGUGACCGGCAACAUUGGGACUGAGAUACGGCCCAGACUCCUCCGGGAGGCAGCAGUGGGGAAUAUUGCACAAUGGGCGGAAGCCUGAUGCAGCAACGCCGCGUGCGGGAUGACGGCCUUCGGGUUGUAAACCGCUUUCGCCUGUGACGAAGCGUGAGUGACGGUAAUGGGUAAAGAAGCACGGGCUAACUACGUG
rnacentral:rRNA from 1 species